rnacentral:rRNA from 1 species
UUAAAUUGAAGAGUUUGAUCAUGGCUCAGAUUGAACGCUGGCGGCAGGCCUAACACAUGCAAGUCGAACGGUAACAGGAAACAGCUUGCUGUUUCGCUGACGAGUGGCGGACGGGUGAGUAAUGUCUGGGAAACUGCCUGAUGGAGGGGGAUAACUACUGGAAACGGUAGCUAAUACCGCAUAACGUCGCAAGACCAAAGAGGGGGACCUUCGGGCCUCUUGCCAUCGGAUGUGCCCAGAUGGGAUUAGCUAGUAGGUGGGGUAACGGCUCACCUAGG